rnacentral:rRNA from 1 species
UACGUAGGGAGCAAGCGUUGUCCGGAAUCAUUGGGCGUAAAGCGCGCGUAGGUGGCUCUGUAAGUCCGUUGUGAAAGUCAAAGGCUCAACCUUUGAAAGCCGAUGGAUACUGCAGAGCUAGAGUACGGAAGAGGCGAGUGGAAUUCCUGGUGUAGCGGUGGAAUGCGCAGAUAUCAGGAGGAACACCGGUGGCGAAGGCGGGACUCUGGGCCGAUACUGACGCUGAGGUGCGAAAGCGUGGGGAGCAAACAGG